CAUCAUCUUUUGGAAUGCAGCUGGAGCAGACGCCAAGCCAUAAGGUACCCUGCAGAAUCUGAAGAGGCCCUCGUGUGUAAGAAAAGCAGUGAGGUCCCGGCAAUCUUCAUGAAGAGCUGUCUACUAUAACUGCCUUGUUGGGCCCUCGCAAGUCCACACACAUGCGGAUCCCCCCCGUUUUCUUUUGGACCACAACAAUCGGAGAAACCCAUGGAGAAGAAUCAAUCCGUUCGAUCACACCAGCCUGUAAGAGACGUUCCAGUUCUGCGGAAACAGCAUCUCUCACGGAGAAAGUUGUUCACACAGCCUAAUGCAGCACGCUGUGAUGGAGAAGUGGAGAGAGCACAGACUGGAGAGGAUUGUGCCGAUGGCAGCACAGUGUGUCCAGUAAAUUGCAGCUGAAGUCCCUUAAUCAGAUCCAUGCCUAGCAAAGCAGUGCCAGUGUCAACAAUGAAGAAGUGUGCAGGACAGGUAAUGCCAUAUUUAGUGACUGUAGCAGAUAAACAUCCUAGUACUGAAAUCGGCUCUUGUAAGUAAGUAACUAAACGGGCAGCAGGGGCUUGCAACGGCACAGUGCGAAAAUGCUGUUCAUACAGUUGUUUCGGCAGGAUGGACACAGACGAACCAGAGUCCACAGUAAGUUGAAGAGACACAGGGGUAGCAGCAGGUGAGGCAUGUACGGUCACUUCACACAUCAGACGGUCAGUCGCUCCAGGCAGAUGGAGAAUACAGACCUCUGGCAAUUCAACUGAAUGCACUGAAUGAGUAGGAGCAGAACGGCAGACUCGUGCAAAAUGUCCAAUCUUAUUGCAGUUCUUACAUUUAGCAGAUGCAGCGGGGCAGUUCUGUGCGUUUGCAAGAUGUCCAGCAGAGCCACAGCGAAAGCAUGUUCGAGCUGACGGAGCAGAAGCAGGUGGUUUUGAUGAGGUACGUGCUUUGAAUUUGGCCUUAGGACGCUGUCGUCCAGAAGCAGGAGUGGCAUGUACAGCUUGAACUGGAGCGAAGUUACUCGUAGCCAGCGAUUUCGCCUGAGCAUCAGCGGUCUCUAGCUGUGUGGCAAUUGUAAUUGCAGUCUCCAGUGUCAAUUUAGAUUCCACUAAUAAUCUUUCACGAAUGCGAGGGUUAGCAAUAUUUUCAACAAGUUGAUCACGCAACAUAUCGUCAAGAUUGUCAGCAAAUUCACAAGUAGUCGCUAAAUCUCUUAAUGCAGCAAUGUAUUGUACUACCGUUUCAUCUAUCCUCUGUAUGCGUUUCCUGAAAGCAUGUCUUUCCACGACCACAUUUCUUUUCGGAACGAAGUGUUGUUCCAAAGCCGUAAUAGCAUCAGCUAGAUCGUCACCGGUAUUGGGCAGUGUAUAAAACAAUCUCUGACCUUCGGUUCCGAGGCAGUGGAGAAGCAAAGCACGUUUUCUGGCUUCUGACCAUAAAUCCCCAGUAGCAUUGAUGACUAGCAUGUAGUUCCUGAACAUUUUCAGCCAUGUGACUAGCGGUAUAGCAGGCUCACCGGGAUAAGGCAAAAAAGGAUUGGGAAAUGGAGCACUUACUGAAGCCAUCCUCAGAAAAUCUUGUACAAAAAACGUCCUCGUCGCCAAUUUGUUAUGUCUUAAUGUAGACAAGACGCUGGAGACCGUAGAUUCCUUUCAGUAACAUUUAUUAACAAAAUAACACAUACAGGAUAACAUGCAGGCACAUGCUCCGUACUCUAACUUCUUCUCUACCUCUCGAUGCAACUCGAGUAGAUCGAGUGCCACCUAGCGGUACAUUGAUGCAACAACAUCACAAUGUGACCUAGAAAUGCUGUCAUCUUUAUUGUCACACAAGCUGGAACGAUGACAUUGGAAGUCUAUUUUGUGUUGUUUACCCUCACGCUGCAGCUUUUAACUUUUUAAAAAUAUCUUUAUUUUAGGUAUUUUAUAUGGUCUAAACCAACUAAACUAAAUUAAACCAAAAUAAA